rnacentral:rRNA from 1 species
GAAUUCGCCCUUAGAGUUUGAUCCUGGCUCAGGACGAACGCUGGCGGCGCGCUUAACACAUGCAAGUCGAACGGAGCUGAGAGGAGCUUGCUUUUCUCAGCUUAGUGGCGAACGGGUGAGUAACGCGUGAGUAACCUGCCCUGGAGUGGGGGACAACAGUUGGAAACGACUGCUAAUACCGCAUAAGCCCACGGCUCGGCAUCGAGCAGAGGGAAAAGGAGCAAUCCGCUUUGAGAUGGCCUCGCGUCCGAUUAGCUAGUUGGUGAGGUAACGGCCCACCAAGGCAACGAUCGGUAGCCGGACUGAGAGGUUGAACGGCCACAUUGGGACUGAGACACGGCCCAGACUCCUACGGGAGGCAGCAGUGGGGAAUAUUGCACAAUGGGGGAAACCCUGAUGCAGCGACGCCGCGUGGAGGAAGAAGGUCUUCGGAUUGUAAACUCCUGUUGUUGGGGAAGAUAAUGACGGUACCCAACAAGAAAGCACCGGCUAACUACGUGCCAGCAGCCGCGGUAAAACGUAGGGUGCAAGCGUUGUCCGGAAUUACUGGGUGUAAAGGGAGCGCAGGCGGGAAGACAAGUUGGAAGUGAAAACCAUGGGCUCAACCCAUGAAUUGCUUUCAAAACUGUUUUUCUUGAGUAGUGCAGAGGUAGAUGGAAUUCCCGGUGUAGCGGUGGAAUGCGUAGAUAUCGGGAGGAACACCAGUGGCGAAGGCGGUCUACUGGGCACCAACUGACGCUGAGGCUCGAAAGCAUGGGUAGCAAACAGGAUUAGAUACCCCGGUAGUCCAUGCCGUAAACGAUGAUUACUAGGUGUUGGAGGAUUGACCCCUUCAGUGCCGCAGUUAACACAAUAAGUAAUCCACCUGGGGAGUACGACCGCAAGGUUGAAACUCAAAGGAAUUGACGGGGGCCCGCACAAGCAGUGGAGUAUGUGGUUUAAUUCGACGCAACGCGAAGAACCUUACCAAGUCUUGACAUCCCUUGACAGACAUAGAAAUAUGUAAUCUCUUCGGAGCAAGGAGACAGGUGGUGCAUGGUUGUCGUCAGCUCGUGUCGUGAGAUGUUGGGUUAAGUCCCGCAACGAGCGCAACCCUUAUGGUCAGUUACUACGCAAGAGGACUCUGGCCAGACUGCCGUUGACAAAACGGAGGAAGGUGGGGAUGACGUCAAAUCAUCAUGCCCUUUAUGACUUGGGCUACACACGUACUACAAUGGCGUUAAACAAAGAGAAGCAAGACCGCGAGGUGGAGCAAAACUCAGAAACAACGUCCCAGUUCGGACUGCAGGCUGCAACUCGCCUGCACGAAGUCGGAAUUGCUAGUAAUCGUGGAUCAGCAUGCCACGGUGAAUACGUUCCCGGGCCUUGCACACACCGCCCGUCA